rnacentral:misc_RNA from 1 species
UUUCCGUAGGUGAACCUGCGGAAGGAUCAUUAUUGAAUGAAACACUUCUGGCUUUAUGCUGUUGUGCUGGCCCUUUAGGCAAUGUGCACACGGCUCUGGUCACUUGUUUCUUCUGUUCCACCUGUGCACUGCCUGUAGACACGCUGUGUCUAUGAUAUUUGUUAACACACAACAAUGUUAGUUGGCAUGUUAUAUAUAAUAAUAAAAUAUACAACUUUCAACAACGGAUCUCUUGGCUCUC